GCGAGUGAACGGGGAAAAGCCCAGCGCUGAAUCCCUCGGCUUUUAGUCGCGGGGAAAUGUAGCGUAUAGGUGCGAUUAUCCGGCGCCAUCACUUACUCAAAGUCCCUUUGACUGGGGCCACAGAUCAGAGAAGGUGCAAGUCCUGUACGAGUGGUGACGGAGUCGGUCGAUUGUUCCUUGGAGUCGGGUUGCCUGAGAACGCAGCCUUAAGCGGGUGGUAAACUUCAUCUAAGGCUAAAUAUGGCUACGAGACCGAUAGCAAACAAGUACCGUGAGGGAAAGUUGCAAAGAACUUUGAAGAGAGAGUUCAAGAGUGCGUGAAACCACUGGAGUCGAAACGGAUAGAGUCGACGUAACGAGGCAACAUUCAACCGAUCCUUCGGGCCCGGUGCACUUGUUGUCUGUAUGCGCUGAGUGCGUUGAUUGUGCGCGUCGAACUGGCAUGUGUUGCCCACUUAUGUGGUGUCUUGCGUGCUGGGGAGGCGUGUCGCGACUAGCGUGAUUCGGUGUGCAAGUCGAUCACCUAUCCGACCCGUCUUGAAACACGGACCAAGGAGUCUUGCGUAUGCGCGAGUCAUUGGGUGGAAAACCUAAAGGCGCAAUGAAAGUAAAGACCGGCUUUCGAUCGGUUGAUAUGGGAUACGUGCAUUCGUGUGCGUCGCACCAUAGCCCCGUCUCGAUGGCUUGCCAUGGGGCGGAGGUAGAGCGUAUACGCAAGGACCCGAAAGAUGGUGAACUAUACGUGAGCAGGACGAAGCCGGAGGAAACUCCGGUGGA
rnacentral:rRNA from 1 species